rnacentral:lncRNA from 1 species
AUAUCAUAAGCUUUACAGGGAGGAUACUUUGAGUGAGAAUUUGAGAGAUUGAAAAUCCGAAAAAUGUUCAGAUGACCAACAAACAGAUACUUAUUCAUCAUUAAACUUAAUAAAUGGGAAAGAAACUCCCUGCAGAUAGCAUGCUUGUCUAAGGUUAUAAGGUGCUAUAAGCACCUUGUAGGAUAAUAGCACUUUAUAAGCAUAGCCAAACAUGCUUUUUAUAUAUUCUGAUUCAGGGAGGACAGGAUCUUACAUUUCAUGUUGCAUCUACAUCUACAUGGUGCUCACCCCUCACAAAUAUUGCACUUGAAAAAACUCCAUGGUUUUGACCACUCCAUCCAUAAUUUCAAUCUGACUGGCAACUUGCAUGUCCUUGACUGAUGGGGGGCUGAUUAAUUCUAUCUUAAACACACUGCUCUGUGUGGAAAAAGCAGGCCUUGAAGAAAUGUUAUGAUAUUAUUAGUUAAUAAAAUAAUAAUACAUAAAUGAAGACUUUCUUAAGCUCUUUAAAUCUUAUCUGGAAUUUAUUACUCUAGCAGCAUCACAAG